rnacentral:sRNA from 1 species
UUGACGCCUGCGUGAGCGAUGGCAGUGGAAAUCCUUUUUGCCAUGAAAAUUUCUCUUUUGUAAAAUGCAAAACCAGCAAAAAGAUUGCAACGAACAGCGCGACAGCGG